GGUGGGGACACACAGAAGCAUUUUGCCCAAGGAACCUACGAGUGCCUCCUGCCACCGAGCAAGGAGAUCUCACAGGAAAGAGGGUGGAGGAGCACGGUCAGAUGAGGAGGCCGUGAGGAGGCUGUUAGCAACCUCCAGAGGAGAGAAAUUGACCUAACCAUGGUUCUGAAGGAGAAGAGGGAUCACAAAGGAGACAGCAGCAAUGCCCCAUGAAGAAAAGGAACAGUCGUAACACCAGACACAGAGAGCGCCGGCACCAGGCAAUGCUGGGAUGGCCUGGUUCCUGCCAUGUAAAUCAAAGAAGAGAGGGUCUGAUUCAGCCGCCUAGCCCGAGUCACCUGGAACCCAUUAGGAUACAGCAUCAUAAACACCUCCAUUUUCCCUUCGGAGAGAGACCAGACCCACUGAAGUUAAGCUACCUGCAUACGAGUUGAGUGUGAUCAGCUGUACUUAAUCUUUAAAUGUCCAACCCACAGAUAACCUUUGGUUUGCUUUGAUAACUACGAAAUAAAUUCUCACUGCAUUGGA